rnacentral:rRNA from 1 species
CAGUCGCCGCGGGAAUACGAAGGGUGCAAGCGUUACUCGGAAUUACUGGGCGUAAAGCGUGCGUAGGUGGUGGUUUAAGUCCGUUGUGAAAGCCCUGGGCUCAACCUGGGAAUUGCGAUGGAUACUGGGCGACUAGAGUGCGGUAGAGGAUAGUGGAAUUUCCGGUGUAGCAGUGAAAUGCGUAGAGAUCGGAAGGAACAUCUGUGGCGAAGGCGACUAUCUGGGCCAACACUGACACUGAGACACGAAAGCGUGGGGAGCAAACAGGAUUAGAUACCCCUGUAGUCCCUGUCUCUUAUAU